rnacentral:rRNA from 1 species
AACGAACGCUGGCGGCAGGCUUAACACAUGCAAGUCGAACGCCCCGCAAGGGGAGUGGCAGACGGGUGAGUAACGCGUGGGAACAUACCCUUUCCUGCGGAAUAGCUCCGGGAAACUGGAAUUAAUACCGCAUACGCCCUACGGGGAAAGAUUUAUCGGGGAAGGAUUGGCCCGCGUUGGAUUAGCUAGUUGGUGGGGUAAAGGCCUACCAAGGCGACGAUCCAUAGCUGGUCUGAGAGGAUGAUCAGCCACAUUGGGACUGAGACACGGCCCAAACUCCUACGGGAGGCAGCAGUGGGGAAUAUUGGACAAUGGGCGCAAGCCUGAUCCAGCCAUGCCGCGUGAGUGAUGAAGGCCUUAGGGUUGUAAAGCUCUUUCACCGAUGAAGAUAAUGACGGUAGUCGGAGAAGAAGCCCCGGCUAACUUCGUG